rnacentral:rRNA from 1 species
UACGAAGGGGACUAGCGUUGUUCGGAAUUACUGGGCGUAAAGCGCGCGUAGGCGGAUCGCUAAGUCAGGGGUGAAAUCCCAGGGCUCAACCCUGGAACUGCCUUUGAUACUGACGAUCUGGAGAUCGGGAGAGGUUGGUGGAAUUCCGAGUGUAGAGGUGAAAUUCGUAGAUAUUCGGAGGAACACCAGAAGCGAAGGCGGCUCACUGGCCCGGUACUGACGCUGAGGUGCGAAAGCGUGGGGAGCAAACAGG